rnacentral:rRNA from 1 species
AAUAAACGCUGGCGGCGUGCCUAACACAUGCAAGUCGAGCGAGAAAGCUCCUUCGGGAGUUAGUAAAGCGGCGAACGGGUGAGCAACACGUGAGAAUCUACCCUUUAGUGAAGAAUACCCUCGAGAAAUCGAGGCUAAUACUGCAUACGUCCCUUCGGGGAGAAAGAUGGCCUCUUUGCUAUCGCUAAAGGAUGAGCUUGCGUACUAUUAGCUAGUUGGCGGGGUAAAGGCCCACCAAGGCAAUGAUGGUUAACCGGCCUGAGAGGGUGUACGGUCACACUGGAACUUAGACACGGUCCAGACUCCUACGGGAGGCAGCAGUGGGGAAUAUUGCGCAAUGGGCGAAAGCCUGACGCAGCGACGCCGCGUGAGGGACGAAGGUCUUCGGAUUGUAAACCUCUUUCAGCAGGGACGAAGCGAAAGUGACUGUACCUGCAGAAGAAGCACCGGCUAACUACGUG